CCCCUUUUUUUGCUGUUGGGCUGCGAAGGACUGGGCCGAAUCUGCUGGCCUGCUGGAUCAGCUGGGGUGCGGGCCGUGUGGAGUGGGCCGACUGCUGGGUGCUGGACUGGCCUGCUGCCCAACUGUUGGAAUGGGUCUGCUGUUGGCAUGCUAAAAAUGGCCUGCUUUCUUUUUUUUCUGCUGGGUUGCUGUUUUGGGCCACUGGGAAUGGGCCUGCUGCUGCUGGUGUGGCCUGCUGGGAGUGGGAUGGCCUGCUGUUGGCUGGACAGGUCUGCUGUGCUGCCUGGGUGUGGACUGGCCUGCUGUUGGGUUGGUGGGUGCCGUGGGUCAGGUCAGUUUUGCGGGUCGGGUUGACCCGACUGUGAUAUAUAUAAUUUUUUCUUUUGUCUUUUCUUUUUCUUCUUUCUUUUCUUUCUCUUUUUCUUCUUCGAGCCGAACCCUAGCCUUACGCCGCCGCUAACGCUUCCUCCGUUCGGUGGUGCAGUGGUCGGUGCUGGCGGUGGAAGGAAAGCAAGGGCGCGGCGGUGGGCACGGUGGUGGUGAAGGGCGGCCAGAUUUUUGAACUCUUUCUUUUGUUUUUUUUUCUGCUGCUGCUUUUUUUGUUUUGCUUUUCUUUUUGAUUAAUUGUGGCUUUCAAGUGGUGGAGGUAAGGGGAAAAAGACGGUGGCGGUGGUUGCGUGACGGUGUUUUGUAGUAUUAAGAGCUCGGAGGUUGGAUUCGGUUAGAGACGUAUCACACUAUCAACCUCAAGAUCUCGGUAUAUAAAGAAACUUUAUUUUGGAAAUCGAUGGCAUUUAUAAGCUAGUAAAGUAAAUGUUAAUGUGAAAUGAAUGAAUGGUUAGCCAUUGGUAUGGCUAACAAAUUUUGGUUUUGGUAUGUGAUGAGGUUAUCUUAUGAAUACGUUAAAUCUAUCUUGAAAAUAUGUUGAAAUUGA